rnacentral:sRNA from 1 species
CGUGCCGCAUAGAUCGGGAUACUCUACAUUAUAAUAAAUCAUCGGGACCGUUUCCCUUGCCAAUGGCGGGCCACAGUCAUCCCCCCGGGGGAGAGCAGUAAUGCCGGUGGAUUACAACAGCAGGGAGCACCCAAAUCGUGUGAAACAGGAGUUUUCACCAAAUCAUCGGCACGAAC